GACCCCCAAAGACAAUAUUUAAAAAUGAAUCAAGUCUGUCACCCGUUAAGGAAGAGGAUCAUGAUGAAUCCUCAGAAAAGCAAACUUCUUACAAAAUUGCACUCGAUGCCAGUGGCACUUUAGCCUUUGAAACUUUGAAGACAAAAAGUCAAUCUGGGAAAUUAAAUAGAGCAGUAUCUACACCUUGUUUGGCUGCGUCACCGCGAAAAGAUGGAAGAAAAUCUAGGUGGAAUAGAGGUGAGGAAGAAGAUU